rnacentral:rRNA from 1 species
ACUCCUACGGGGGGCAGCCAUGGGGAAUAUUGGGCCAUGGGCCGCAAGCCUGAUCCAGCAAUUCCGUGUGCACGAUGAAGGCCCUCGGGUCGUAAAGCUCUUUUACCAGGGAUGAUAAUGACAGUACCUGGAGAAUAAGCACCGGCUAACUCCGUGCCAGCAGCCGCGGUAAU